UGUAAGUUAAUGUAGCUUGGUCCGAGUGAAAGUGUUUUUAUAUUUUGUUUCCUUACAACACAAGAGAGCCGCCAGCUCUAGCCGCAAUUCUAAUAGUCCUCUUUAGUUCCGUCGCACACGCGGCGGACGACAAGGCAUACCUCCACCCUUACGCAACCCGUUAACACUGACACACUUCCACCCCAUGUCAGCCACAACUCCGCCGUCGCCGUCGCCGCCGGUCUUCUCUUCGCAUUGCUCAAAAACCCUUGACAAAUUCCAUAAUUCCACUUUUAUCUUCUCGCGAUCCUUCAAGCGUAAUAAGGAUUUUUCCAUUCGAUGUGAAUUUGAGAGUAACCAAAGGUGGACGGUGGGUUGUGUAUCAGCGACUGAUCCAAUUCAUAUUAUUCUGAAACCUCCUUCAAUCCCAAUGUCUGCUGCUGCUGCUUUGGGUCCUGCUGGUAAGCAUUCGAAAAGAGUUUGCUUAUUCUAUUGCGAUGAGAUGAAAGAUCUUGCUGAGCGAAUUGCUUCUCAAUCUGAUGCCAUUGAGCUCCGUAGUAUCACUUGGAGGACUUUCGAAGAUGGAUUCCCAAACCUAUUCAUAUCUAAUGCUCAUGGCAUCCGUGGACAGCAUGCAGCUUUCCUUGCUUCAUUUAGUUCUCCUGGAGUGAUUUUUGAGCAACUAUCAGUUAUUUAUGCAUUGCCAAAGCUCUUCGUUUCCUCAUUCACGCUUGUCCUUCCGUUCUUCCCAACGGGCACAUCUGAGCGCAUGGAAGAUGAAGGUGAUGUUGCCACAGCUUUUACGCUUGCCAGGAUUUUGUCAAACAUCCCAGUUCCUCGAGGAGGACCAACUAGUUUAGUUACCUUUGAUAUCCAUGCCUUGCAGGAGAGGUUCUACUUUGGAGACAAUAUACUACCAUGCUUCGAGAGCGGGAUCCCCUUGCUUCUGAAUAGGCUACAACAACUCCCUGACUCUGACAAUAUAUCUCUAGCUUUUCCUGAUGAUGGUGCAUGGAAACGUUUUCACAAGCAGCUUCAGCAUUUUCCAAUGAUUGUCUGUGCUAAAGUUAGGGAAGGUGAUCAACGAAUUGUACGGAUUAAGGAGGGAGAUCCUGCUGGACGUCAUGUGGUGAUAGUGGAUGAUCUUGUACAAUCAGGUGGCACCCUAACAGAAUGCCAGGUAAGUCAUGAAAUCCUAGCAUUUAAAAGGUAGAACCGAAACAAAGCGCAGAAAGUACCAUUCUUGGGUCCAUGAAUUCAAGGGUUGUCUUCUCAACGAGAAAAUUAUGAAAUGUGGAGAGAAAGUGUUGGCUAGACAUGGAGCUCAAAAAAUAAGUGCUUAUGUGACCCAUGGAAUUUUUCCAAACAGAUCAUGGCAGCGUUUUAACCACGACAAAGGAGGUAGUCCGGAGAGUGGGAUGACUUACUUCUGGAUCACAGAUUCAUGCCCUCGAACAGUGAAGGAGGUGAAAGACAGAAAGCCAUUUGAGGUUCUGAGCCUCGCCGCUCCCAUAGCAGCUGCACUUCAGAUUUAAUUGCAGAUCCUCCUAAGCUGUUUUUUCAUUCUUUAUGUUCACCUUUGAUUCAAGAUGUAUAGAGAAAGCAAGGAGAAGUGAGCUCUUCCAGGCAGCACUACCGCAAUAACUGGUGCUACUCAAGUGUCUUGUGUCAACUAGGAAUUUUGAUUAGACAGAACUUUCUUAGUUAAUCUAAGCUUCGAUUGUAGCAUAACUAAGAUGUUUCUACUCUUUCAAAGUUCUUCACGGAGAUGAUGAAUGUACCUCGAGAAAUGGAUCCUUUCUUUCACAUAAAAUUGCUUUCUUGCAUGAUAUGCAGUUCUUAUUUCUAGC